rnacentral:rRNA from 1 species
CGCAUCUGUGCAUGCAGCAUAUCAAUAAGCGGAGGAAAAGUACGAUGACAUGUAUACCUACGCUUAGGAUGUUGACACACGCGCGUGCUCGACUCUACACAUGACUCUGUGCAUAUCAAUAAGCGGAGGAAAAGAAACUAACAAGGAUUCCCUUAGUAACGGCGAGUGAAGCGGGAAGAGCUCAAAUUUGAAAUCUUCAAGGUUUUACCUUGACGAAUUGUAGUUUAAAGAAGUGUUUUCUGUUGAAGUUUUGGUAAAAGUUCUUUGGAAUAGGACAUCAUAGAGGGUGAGAAUCCCGUAUUUGACCAUUAUUUUCAGCUGUGUGAUACACUUUCAAAGAGUCGGAUUGUUUGGGAAUGCAGUCCAAAAUGGGUGGUAAAUUUCAUCUAAAGCUAAAUAUUGGCGAGAGACCGAUAGCGAACAAGUACCGUGAGGGAAAGAUGAAAAGAACUUUGAAAAGAGAGUUAAACAGUACGUGAAAUUGUCAAAAGGGAAGCGUUUGACACCAGUGUUGUUUUCUCGAAAAUCAAUUAAAAAGAGUUUGAUUUUGUUGUGUAUUGACCUUAACAGCUUGCAUUUCAAUUUUCUUGCUUUUUUAAUGCACUUUUCGUUUAACAAGUCAACAUCAGUUUCUUUUGUUGUAAAAAGGUCAUUGGAAGGUGGCUUUCUUUUCGGAGAAAGUGUUUAUAGCCUUUGACUCCUGCAAUCGGAGAGACUGAGGUCUGCAGCGUAGAUCCUUCGGGGUUAGAUGCAUUUGUGCUAAGUUAUGGCUUUUUAUAGACAACUUGUUGACUAUGAUUAGUCUUGUAGCUUACUCGCUUAUGCUAUUUUACCUACGCUUAGGAUGUUGACACACGCGCGUGCUCG